AGCCCUCUGCUGUGGUCUAUGGCUUUUUAUUCCUAUGUGAUUGCGUUUCCUAACUCAUGUAGGGCUAAAAGCCAUGGGCUACACAGAG
rnacentral:pre_miRNA from 1 species